rnacentral:rRNA from 1 species
CCUACGGGAGGCAGCAGUCGGGAGUCUUGCACAAUGGGGGAAACCCUGAUGCAGUGACGCCGCGUGCGGGAUGAAGUCCUUCGGGACGUAAACCGCUUUUGUCCGGGAAGAAGUUCUGACGGUACCGGACGAAUAAGCCCCGGCUAACUACGUGCCAGCAGCCGCGGUAAAACGUAGGGGGCGAGCGUUGCCCGGAUUUACUGGGCGUAAAGCGCGCGUAGGCGGCUGCGUAAGUGGGGAGUUAAAGCCCUCGGCGCAACCGAGAAAAGGCUCCUCAAACAGCGGGGCUUGAGUGUAGGAGAGGGGAGUGGAAUUCCCGGUGUAGCGGUAAAAUGCGUUGAUAUCGGGAGGAACACCGGUGGCGAGGGCGAUCAUCUGGCUCGUAACGGACGCUCAGGGACGAAAGCGUGG